AGCGGUGGUAGCUCAGUCGGGUGAGCGCCCGCUUCUCAAUCAAGAGAUGCGGGUUCGAAUCCCGGCGUUCGCUG
rnacentral:tRNA from 1 species